rnacentral:hammerhead_ribozyme from 1 species
ACCUAGCUGAAGAGUCCAAAAUAGGUUGAAACGCUAGUCUUGGAU